GCCUCCUUGGUGUAUUGGAAGCACAUGACUCUUCUAAAGUUAGUGACAAGGUUCGACUCCUUGAGGGGGUAC
rnacentral:tRNA from 1 species